rnacentral:rRNA from 1 species
GACGAACGCUGGCGGCGUGCUUAACACAUGCAAGUCGAACGGAAAGGCCCUGCUUUUGUGGGGUGCUCGAGUGGCGAACGGGUGAGUAACACGUGAGUAACCUGCCCUUGACUUUGGGAUAACUUCAGGAAACUGGGGCUAAUACCGGAUAGGAGCUCCUGCUGCAUGGUGGGGGUUGGAAAGUUUCGGCGGUUGGGGAUGGACUCGCGGCUUAUCAGCUUGUUGGUGGGGUAGUGGCUUACCAAGGCUUUGACGGGUAGCCGGCCUGAGAGGGUGACCGGGCACAAUGGGACUUAGGAUCGGCCCAGGCCCCUACGGGGGGCAGGAGGUGGGAAAUAUGGAACAUGGGCCGAAGGCUGGUUCAGGAAACCCGGGUGCGGGGAUGCGGGCCUUCGGGUUGAAACCGCUUUUGGCUUGGGCCGAGGGGGAGGUGCGGGAAUGGGGUAAGGAGGAACGGGCAACUACGUG